rnacentral:rRNA from 1 species
AUACGUAGGGAGCGAGCGUUGUCCGGAAUUACUGGGCGUAAAGCGCACGCAGGCGGUCAAUUAAGUCAGAUGUGAAAGCCCCGAGCUUAACUUGGGAAUUGCAUCUGAAACUGGUUGGCUAGAGUCUUGUAGAGGGGGGUAGAAUUCCACGUGUAGCGGUGAAAUGCGUAGAGAUGUGGAGGAAUACCGGUGGCGAAGGCGGCCCCCUGGACAAAGACUGACGCUCAGGUGCGAAAGCGUGGGGAGCAAACAGGAUUAGAUACCCUGGUAGUCCACGCUGUAAACGAUGUCGAUUUAGAGGUUGUGGUCUUGAACCGUGGCUUCUGGAGCUAACGCGUUAAAUCGACCGCCUGGGGAGUACGGCCGCAAGGUUAAAACUCAAAUGAAUUGACGGGG